rnacentral:ncRNA from 2 species
CGACUGAAGCGGGGGUACCGCGCGCCGUCCCGGCGCCGGUUGAGACAGACCCUUCGAACCUGACGCGGUUGAUACCGCCGUAGGGAAGCUUCGCACCGGUUCCC